rnacentral:rRNA from 1 species
UACGGAGGGGGCUAGCGUUGUUCGGAAUUACUGGGCGUAAAGCGCACGUAGGCGGCUUUGUAAGUUAGAGGUGAAAGCCCAGAGCUCAACUCUGGAACUGCCUUUAAGACUGCAUCGCUUGAAUCAUGGAGAGGUUAGUGGAAUUCCGAGUGUAGAGGUGAAUUUCGUAGAUAUUAGGAAGAACACCAGAGGCGAAGGCGGCCGGCUGGACCUGACCUGACGCUGAGGCACGAAGGCGUGGGGAGCGAACGGG